ACAUAUAUAUUUGUGUGUGUGUGUGUGUGUGUCAGUGGCCAGCAGGUUUUGGGAUCUGAUGACACGCCUUAAAGCUAAAUCCUUUAUGGGCAGGAAACCUAAGGUAAUCCUAUAAACUGGCCUUCCCCAUUUUUAAUAUAUAUAUACAUA